GAAAGAAAGAAAAAAGAAACUGACUGUUAAAUUAUGAACCGUGGGACGUGCCUCAUGGGCGGUCCUUGGGCGGGCGCCGCUCCGCUUCCCUCCAGCCUCAGAAGUCGGUGCCAGAGGCCGUAGGAGGCAGGCAAGCGCAUCUCCAUGGUCUAGAAAAACACUGCAAAAAUGUCCCUCUAUCCAUUUCUUGAAGACUUGAAGGUAGAUAAAUUAAUUCAGGCUCAGGCUGCCUAUCCUGCAAAUCCUGCCAACCCAGCAGUUUUAUCAGAAGCUUCUGCUCCUGUCUCUCAAGAUGGAAGUCUCUAUCCUAAACUGUAUCCAGAGCUCUCUCAAUACAUGGGCCUAAGUUUAAAUGAAGAAGAAAUACAUGCAAAUAUGGCCAUGGUCCCUGGAGCACCAGUGCAGGGGCAGUUGGUAGCAAGACCUUCUAGUGUGAACUAUAUGGUGGCUCCUGUGACUGGCAAUGAUGUUGGAAUUCGUAGAGCAGAAAUUAACCAAGGGAUUUGUGAAGUCAUUUUGUGUAAGGAUCAAGAUGGAAAAAUUGGACUCAGGCUUAAAUCUAUAGAUAAUGGUAUAUUUGUUCAGCUAGUCCAGGCUAAUUUUCCAGCCUCAUUGGUUGGUCUGAGAUUUGGGGACCAAGUACUCCAGAUCAAUGGUGAAAAUUGUGCUGGCUGGAGCUCUGAUAAAGCACAGAAGGUGCUCAAACAGGCUUUUGGAGAGAAGAUUACUAUGACCAUUCGCGACAGGCCCUUUGAACGGACAAUCACCACGCACAAGGAUUGUACUGGACAUGCUGGCUUUAUCUUUAAAAAUGGAAAAAUAACAUUCAUAGUCAAAGAUAGUUCUGCAGCCAGAAAUGGUCUUCUCACAGAACAUAACAUCUGUGAAAUCAACGGGCAGAAUGUCAUUGGAUUGAAGGACUCUCAAAUUGCAGACAUACUGUCAACAGCUGGGACUGUAGUUACUAUUACAAUCAUGCCUGUUUUUAUCUUUGAACAUAUUAAACGGAUGGUCCCAAGCAUUAUGAAAAGUCUGAUGGACCACACCAUUCCUGAGGUUUAAAAAUCAUGGCGCAACAAAAAUGUAGCUGAAUUUCUCCAGUUUCCUUCUUUGGCAACUUCUGUAUUAUGCACACGAAGCUUUCCCAGAGCCAGCGAGCAUAUGCUGCAUGAGGAUCCUUCUAUCUUACAUAUGGCUGGGAAUCUUACUGUCUCAUCUGAUAUCUUGUUCAGAUUUCAAGAUAGUGGUAGCCUUAUCCUGGUUUUACAGAUGUGAAACUUUCAAGAGAUUUACUGACUUUCCUAGAAUAGUUUCUCUACUGGAAACCUGAUGCUUUUACAAGCCAUUGUGAUUAGGAUGACUGAUACAAGCUUAGCUCUAUGUCAGAACCAGUCACCUUUCUCCUAGGUAAUGAGCAGUACUGUUCAUAUUACUUUAGUUCUAUCUUAUAUUUGCAUUUUUAACAUGUUACCAUGUACAUUUAGAAUGAUUGCCUUUGAUGUUUUCUGUUUUGAUGUUUUCGUCGUUUUUUUAGUUCUGUGUGUGUGUGUGUGUGUGCGCGCGCGCGCGCGUAAAACACCUAUUAAGAACACUGGUUUCAUUCCAUGCAAGCAUUAUACAGUGUAUGUAGGUUGCAAGAGACUGUGAUGAUUGUCGUUUAAAUUUUAACUACCUUCUCUUAAUAUGCUUGAACUGUCGCCUUAACUAUGUUAAGCAUCUACACUAAAAGCCAAAAUAUAAUUAUUGCUGCCUUUCUAAAACCCAAAUGUAGUUCUGUAAUAAACCGAAAUGUGUACUAAAAAAAAAAAAAAAAUUAUGAACUGUGAAAAGGCAAACCCACAGGAUGGGAAAAGAUAGUUGCAACAACUAUAACCAACAAAUGGUUCAAAUAUAAAAAUACAAACAAAUCAGUAAGAAAAAGAUUACCCAUAAAAAAAGAAAACAGGCAGGAGACAUAAACAGAUACUUCAUAAGAGAAAAUACCUAUGACCAAUAAACUUCUAAUAAGGUUCCAAUCUCAUUGUCUUAAGGAAAUGCAAAUUAGAAUAACAAUAAGAUAACAAACACUACACACCCAUCAGAAUGGCUAAAAUUUAAAAGAUCCACAAUACCAACUAUAAGCUAGGAUAUGAAACAAUACUGUUAUAUAUAGAACUAUUAAUUGUUUCACCAUUUGGAAACAAUCUGAUAUUAUAUCUGCCAAAGUUGAAAACACAAAUACUCUAUGAUCCAGCCACACCAUUGCUAUAUAGGUAUUUAUUCUACAGAAAUCCAUGAAUAUGUGCACCAGGAGAUACAAUAUAGUCAUAGAAUUAUUAUUGCAAUGCUCCUAAACUGGAAACAAUCCAUAUAUCAACAUUAAAAUGGAUCAUAUAGUAUAUCCAUGCAAUGGAAUAUUACACAGCAAUGAAAAUCAACAGAUCACAGCUACAUACAGUAAUAUGAAUUAAUGUCACAAGUGUAAUGUUGGGUAAAGGAAGCCAGAGACAAAAUAAUUCAUAUUGUACGAUUUAAGUCAGUUUAAAAGAAAAAACAGUAUUGCAUAUGACCUGAGGUGUUGUCAACAGAAAGGGGCACUUGGAAGGGACUGGAGGGGAUUCUGGGCAGAACCAGCAAUGUUCUAGUUUGACCUGAAUAGUGGUUACAUCAUAGCAAUUCAUCAAGCUGUUCUUUUAUGCUUUAUGUACUUUUCUGUAUGUCUGUUCUAUUGUAUAUAAAAAUGGCUUAAUAAAAUUAAAUUAAAUA